GCGGCCGUAGCUCAAUUGGAUAGAGCGGAAGACUUCGAAUCUUACGGUUAAGGGUUCAACUCCCUUCGGCCGUGCUA
rnacentral:tRNA from 1 species